UACGGGAGGCAGCAGUGAGGAAUAUUGGUCAAUGGCCGAGAGGCUGAACCAGCCAUGCCGCGUGCGGGACGACGGCCCUAUGGGUUGUAAACCGCUUUUGUUGGGGAGCAAUAAGGUCCACGCGUGGAUCGAUGAGAGUACCCAGCGAAUAAGCAUCGGCUAACUCCGUGCCAGCAGCCGCGGUAAU
rnacentral:rRNA from 1 species